rnacentral:rRNA from 1 species
CCUACGGGAGGCAGCAGUAGGGAAUCUUCCACAAUGGGCGAAAGCCUGAUGGAGCAACGCCGCGUGGGUGAAGAAGGUCUUCGGAUCGUAAAACCCUGUUGUUAGAGAAGAAAGUGCGUGAGAGUAACUGUUCACGUUUCGACGGUAUCUAACCAGAAAGCCACGGCUAACUACGUGCCAGCAGCCGCGGGAAUACGUAGGUGGCAAGCGUUAUCCGGAUUUAUUGGGCGUAAAGGGAACGCAGGCGGUCUUUUAAGUCUGAUGUGAAAGCCUUCGGCUUAACCGGAGUAGUGCAUUGGAAACUGGGAGACGUGAGUGCAGAAGAGGAGAGUGGAACGCCAUGUGUAGCGGUGAAAUGCGUAGAUAUAUGGAAGAACACCAGUGGCGAAAGCGGCUCUCUGGUCUGUAACUGACGCUGAGGUUCGAAAGCGUGGGUAGCAAACAGGAUUAGAUACCCUUGUAGUC